rnacentral:rRNA from 1 species
GACAGAGGGUGCAAACGUUGUUCGGAAUUACUGGGCGUAAAGCGCGUGUAGGCGGCAGCGUGUGUCGGGCGUGAAAUCCCACGGCUCAACCGUGGAAGUGCACUCGAAACUGCGCAGCUAGAGUCCUGGAGAGGAAGGUGGAAUGCUUGGUGUAGAGGUGAAAUUCGUAGAUAUCAAGCGGAACACCGGUGGCGAAGGCGACCUUCUGGACAGUGACUGACGCUGAGGCACGAAAGCGUGGGGAUCAAACAGG